rnacentral:rRNA from 1 species
GAUCAACGCUGGCGGCGUGCAUAACACAUGCAAGUCGAACGAUGAAACUUAACUGAUUUCUUCGGAAUGAUUUUAAGUGGAUUAGUGGCGGACGGGUGAGUAACGCGUGAGUAACCUGCCUUGCACAAGGGGAUAGCCGUUGGAAACGACGAAUAAUACCCUAUGAUAUAAACUCUUCGCAUGAAUAGCUUAUCAAAGAUUUAUCGGUGUAAGAUGGACUCGCGUCUGAUUAGCUAGUUGGUGGGGUAACAGCCUACCAAGGCAACGAUCAGUAGCCGGCUUGAGAGAGUGUACGGCCACAUUGGGACUGAGACACGGCCCAGACUCCUACGGGAGGCAGCAGUGGGGAAUUUUGCACAAUGGGGGCAACCCUGAUGCAGCGACGCCGCGUGAUUUAGAAGGCCUUCGGGUUGUAAAAAUCUUUUGUAUGGGAAGAAAAUGACAGUACCAUACGAAUAAGGACCGGCUAAUUACGUG